UUUACUAGAGCUAGACCCUCUUUGGGCUGUAAUUCGAAAAAACCACCAUUGAUCCCUGCCAACUUAAAGGCUUCAGAUGCAUCCAAUGAUUGUCCCUUGGGCCCCAUUGACUUGGAAUUGGGCCGACCUGUCAAAAGCCCAGCAAUGUAAGACAAUGGGACCAGGUCACCAGAAGCAGUGAUUGUACCUCUGAGAGGCAAACAUGGGGUAAUGUUGUUGUUGAUGAACUUGGUAAU
rnacentral:misc_RNA from 1 species